rnacentral:tRNA from 1 species
GCUGAAAUUGGUUUAAUGGGAAAGCAGCUGGUCAAUGAGGACUAGCAGAUGAAGGUUCGAGUCCUUCCUUUCAGCC